rnacentral:rRNA from 1 species
UAUCCAUUGGAGGGCAAGUCUGGUGCCAGCAGCUGCGGUAAUACCAGCUCCAAUAGCGUAUAUUAAAGUUGUUGCAGUUAAAAAGCUCGUAGUUGGACUUGUGUGCGCUGUCCGCGGGUGGCCUGCGCCCAAAAGGGCGUUUCGGUUCGGCCCCGGUGGCGCCUUGAAAUCUGCAGCUGGGGGGACGUUGGCCUUAACUGGUCGGCGACCGCACGCCGGCUGCUCGGUUACUGUGAGAAAAUUAGAGUGUUCAAGGCAGGCAUUGGGUGCAAUUGAAUACAUUAGCAUGGAAUAAUAAAAUAUGGCUCCUGCCGUAUUUUGUUGGUUUUGACUGGUGGGAGUAAUGAUUGAUAGGGACGGUUGGGGGUGCUAGUAUUGAGCGGCCAGAGGUGAAAUUCAUGGAUUCGCUCAAGACUAACUUAUGCGAAAGCAUUCACCAAGGACGUCCUCUUUAAUCAAGAACGAAAGUUGGGGGAUCGAAGACGAUCAGAUACCGUCGUAGUCUCAACCAUAAACUAUGUCGACUUGGGAUCGGCGGUAGUUUUUUCAUUAAGACACUGUCGGGACCACGGGAGAAAUCAAAGUGUCUGGACUCUGGGGGAAGUAUGGUCGCAAGGCUGAAACUUGAAGGAAUUGACGGAAGGGCACCACCAGGAGUGGAGCCUGCGGCUUAAUUUGACACAACACGGGGAAACUUACCAGGUCCAGAGAUGUAGAGGAUUGACAGAUUGAAGCUCUUUCUUGAUCACUUCGGUGGUGGUGCAUGGCCGUUCUUAGUUGGUGGAAUGAUUUGCCUGGUUAAUUCCGUUAACGAACGAGACCUCAGCCUGCUAGUGUAGUCGGCUGGAUUGCCUUUGGCGAUCCGUGAUUUCGACUUCUUAGAGGGACAAUCGACGCGCAGUCGAUGGAAGUUUGAGGCAAUAACAGGUCUGUGAUGCCCUUAGAUGUUCUGGGCCGCACGCGCGCUACACUGCUGGGCUCAGCGAGUUUUACUUGGCCGAGAGGCCCGGUUAAUCUUGUGAAAUCCCAGCGUGCUUGGGCUCGCCUCCUGCAACUGGAGGCGCCAACGAGGAAUUCCUAGUAGACGCAGGUCAUCAACCUGCAUCGAUUACGUCCCUGCCCUUUGUACACACCGCCCGUCGUUCCAUAAGAGUGAGGCAUCCGGUGAAUUCUCGGGAGAGCCUGGGCGUGGCCAGCAAUGGUCUGCUCGGGUUUGAACUUGCAUAAACUUGGUGCCUAUGAUUAGGG